GCGGGCGUAGCUCAGUGGCGAGCUCCCGCUUCGUAUGCGGGGAGACCUGGGUUCGAUUCCCG
rnacentral:tRNA from 1 species